rnacentral:rRNA from 1 species
AUAAUAAUUACCUCGGCUAAAUAACAACUAGGCAAAUAAGGAAGAUCCGCGAAAUAUUAUAUUGUGGGUAAUAAUAAGCGGAGACAGAGUAACGUAAUUUCUAGGAAAAACACCGAAAAGGAGAGGGAUGCAAUAACAGGGAACGGUUUAGUAAUACCACAUAAUGUUCGAUAGACCAAAAGUGAGGGACCUUUAGGACCUCCAACCAUACAGAUUGGCCACAUAUGGGUUUAAUAUAGUUGGUGGGGAAAAAGGCUCACCUUAGAGGGAGAUUCCCUAGAUGGUUUAGGAAGGAUGACCCGACCCCAAUGGAAAUUGAGACACGGUCCCAGAAUUCUUACGUGAGGCCAGCAGUGGGGAAUAUUGCCCAAUGGGCGCAAGCCUGAUGCAGCCAUGCCGCGUGUGUGAAGAAGGCCUUCGGGUUGUAAAGCACUUUCAGCGGGGAGGAAGGCGUUAAGGUUAAUAACCUUGUCGAUUGACGUUACCCGCAGAAGAAGCACCGGCUAACUCCGUGCCAGCAGCCGCGGUAAUACGGAGGGUGCAAGCGUUAAUCGGAAUUACUGGGCGUAAAGCGCACGCAGGUGGUCUGUCAAGUCGGAUGUGAAAUCCCCGGGCUCAACCUGGGAACUGCAUUCGAAACUGGCAGGCUAGAGUCUUGUAGAGGGGGGUAGAAUUCCAGGUGUAGCGGUGAAAUGCGUAGAGAUCUGGAGGAAUACCGGUGGCGAAGGCGGCCCCCUGGACAAAGACUGACGCUCAGGUGCGAAAGCGUGGGGAGCAAACAGGAUUAGAUACCCUGGUAGUCCACGCCGUAAACGAUGUCGAUUUGGAGGUUGUGCCCUUGAGGCGUGGCUUCCGGAGCUAACGCGUUAAAUCGACCGCCUGGGGAGUACGGCCGCAAGGUUAAAACUCAAAUGAAUUGACGGGGGCCCGCACAAGCGGUGGAGCAUGUGGUUUAAUUCGAUGCAACGCGAAGAACCUUACCUGGUCUUGACAUCCACAGAACUUUCCAGAGAUGGAUUGGUGCCUUCGGGAACUGUGAGACAGGUGCUGCAUGGCUGUCGUCAGCUCGUGUUGUGAAAUGUUGGGUUAAGUCCCGCAACGAGCGCAACCCUUAUCCUUUGUUGCCAGCGGUCCGGCCGGGAACUCAAAGGAGACUGCCAGUGAUAAACUGGAGGAAGGUGGGGAUGACGUCAAGUCAUCAUGGCCCUUACGACCAGGGCUACACACGUGCUACAAUGGCAUAUACAAAGAGAAGCGACCUCGCGAGAGCAAGCGGACCUCAUAAAGUAUGUCGUAGUCCGGAUUGGAGUCUGCAACUCGACUCCAUGAAGUCGGAAUCGCUAGUAUCGUAGAUCAAAUGUAAAUGGGGGU